AAGCUCGUAGUUGAAUUUCGGGAUCAAAUUGUUGGUCGUGCUUCGGUACGCACUGGCAUUAUUGGUUCCUACCUUCUGAAGAACCGCGAUGUCAUUAAUUUGGUGUCGUGGGGAAUCAGGACUGUUACUUUGAAANAAUUAGAGUGUUUAAAGCAGGCGCACGCUUGAAUACAUUAGCAUGGAAUAAUGAAAUAGGACGUUUGAUUCUAUUUUGUUGGUUUCUAGGAUCGACGUAAUGAUUAAUAGGGAUAGUUGGGGGCAUUAGUAUUCAAUUGUCAGAGGUGAAAUUCUUGGAUUUAUUGAAGACUAACUACUGCGAAAGCAUUUGCCAAGGAUGUUUUCAUUAAUCAAGAACGAAAGUUAGGGGAUCGAAGACGAUCAGAUACCGUCGUAGUCUUAACCAUAAACUAUGCCGACUANGGAUCGGAUGAUGUUAAUUUUAUNAUGANUCAUUCGGCGCCUUACGGGAAACCAAAGUGUUUGGGUUCCGGGGGGAGUAUGGUCGCAAGGCUGAAACUUAAAGG
rnacentral:rRNA from 1 species